rnacentral:pre_miRNA from 1 species
GCUCUGAGUGGCAGGUACUGUAAACAUCCUACACUCUCAGCUGUGGAAAGUAAGGAAGCUGGGAGAAGGUUGUUUACUCUCUCUGCCUUGGAAAG